GUCUUCGGACCAAAGCGGGGGACCUUCGGGCCUCGCGCCAGCAGAUGAACCCAUAUGGGAUUAGCUUGUAGGUGAGGUAACGGCUCACCUAGGCGACGAUCCCUAGCUGGUCUGAGAGGAUGAUCAGCACACUGGGACUGAGACACGGCCAGACUCCUACGGGAGGCAGCAGUGGGGAAUAUUGCACAAUGGGCGCAAGCCUGAUGCAGCCAUGCCGCGUGUAUGAAGAAGGCCUUCGGGUUGUAAAGUACUUUCAGUCGGGAGGAAGGGUGGUAAGGUUAAAUAACCUUAUCCAAUUUGACGUUUACCGACAGGAAGAAGCAACCGGGUUAAUUCCCGGUGCCAACAACCGGGGAAAUACGGGGAGGGGGUGGGCAAGGCGGUUAAUCCCGGGAAAUUUAACUUGGGGCCGUUAAAGGCGNCCACGGCCAAGGCGGGGUUGGAUCUGGGAGGUCCCGACAUGGNUGGAAAANUCCCCCAGGGGGUUUAAAACCCCCGGGGAAUUGGGUUCCUCGAGAUAACCUCGGGGUCCAAGCUAAAAAACCAUAGGGACAAGGGGGGGGACAAAAAUCCCGUCUGCACCAGGAAACUCGAAAAAAU
rnacentral:rRNA from 1 species